rnacentral:rRNA from 1 species
AGCGAACGCUGGCGGCAGGCCUAACACAUGCAAGUCGAACGAACUCUUCGGAGUUAGUGGCGGACGGGUGAGUAACACGUGGGAACGUGCCUUUAGGUUCGGAAUAACUCAGGGAAACUUGUGCUAAUACCGAAUGUGCCCUUCGGGGGAAAGAUUUAUCGCCUUUAGAGCGGCCCGCGUCUGAUUAGCUAGUUGGUGAGGUAAAGGCUCACCAAGGCGACGAGCAGUAGCUGGUCUGAGAGGAUGAUCAGCCACAUUGGGACUGAGACACGGCCCAAACUCCUACGGGAGGCAGCAGUGGGGAAUCUUGCGCAAUGGGCGAAAGCCUGACGCAGCCAUGCCGCGUGAAUGAUGAAGGUCUUAGGAUUGUAAAAUUCUUUAACCGGGGACGAUAAUGACGGUACCCGGAGAAGAAGCCCCGGCUAACUUCGUG